AACUCAAUGAGAAAUAGGUGUGGAGUGUUUUGUUUGCCUUUGGCGUUCAAGACUGGUGCCUGAGAAAAAGAGGAAAUUUCAUUUGGGAAAGAUGAGGAGGUAAAUGGAAACUUUUAGUGCUUCAGAAGGAGGCUUAGGGGCACUUUAGAAGCUUUUGACAUUGACAGCACUGGUGCUUUAUUGCUUUCAUUUCCCUGCAAGCCUCUUGGAGGGGCUGUUCCCCUCUUUCAGGUUGUCUUCACCUUUUCAAGUUCACCUGCAAGGCUUAAGAGUCCGUGAGGACCAGCAUUGAGUUAGCCCUUGCCACUGCGUCAUGAGGCCAAGGCAGAUGAAGGAGGAGGCGGCCCUAGCCAUGACCCAGCUCUGCAUAAAUACGGUCUCUUCCCUCGGGGAGCACCGACAGUCGAGAAGACAUCUACAACAUUAGCAGAUGGCAACACGAAUAAUCACACAUCUAUGACUUCCACAAAAAUCCCUCUCUACGUGAAUAAAAGUGCAAAGUGUUUCA